rnacentral:rRNA from 1 species
GGCGGCGUGCCUAAUACAUGCAAGUGAAACGGGUAUCUUCGGAUACCAGUCGCGGACGGGUGAGUAAUACAUAGGCAACCUGCCUUUAUGGAGGGGGAUAACCGAGGGAAACUUUGGCUAAUACCGCAUGAAGACUCUAAGGCAUCUUAGAGGAUAAAGUUGGGAAACAACGCAUGAAGAUGGGCUUAUGGCGCAUUAGCUAGUUGGUGAGAUAGAAGCCCACCAAGGUAAUGAUGCGUAGCCGACCUGAGAGGGUGAACGGCCACAUUGGGACUGAGACACGGCCCAAACUCCUACGGGAGGCAGCAGUAGGGAAUUUUCGGCAAUGGGGGGAACCCUGACCGAGCAACGCCGCCGUGAAGGAAGAAGGUUUUCGGAUUGUAAACUUCUGUUAUAAGGGAAGAACGGAUUGGAUAGGGAAUGAUCUGAUAGUGACGGUACCUUAUUAGAAAGCCACGGCUAACUACGUGCCAGCCGCUGC